rnacentral:sRNA from 12 species
UACGAGCCAGGGGCAAUGUGAAACGGCAGGACUGCGCAGUCCGGCAACAUCAGCAGAAAGCCCGCUUUACGAGAAGGAUUGGCUGAAACGUAGAGAAAUAUUGAGCCUCCUGCAAGAGGCAGCCAAGCAAUAGCAUU